rnacentral:rRNA from 1 species
GACGAACGCUGGCGGCGCGCUUAACACAUGCAAGUCGAACGGAAAGGCCUGCUUUCCCUUGUGGAUUGCGGGUACUCGAGUGGCGAACGGGUGAGUAACACGUGAGUGAUCUGCCCCCAACUUGGGUAUAAGCCUGGGAAACUGGGUCUAAUUCCCGAUAGGACUGCAGGGUGGUGCCUGUGGUGGAAAACGAUUUUCUAGUGGUUGGGGAUGAGCUCGCGGCCUAUCAGCUUGUUGGUGGGGUAAUGGCCUACCAAGGCGGCGACGGGUAGCCGGCCUGGGAGGGUGGACGGACACAUUGGGACUGGGAUACGGCCCAGACGCCUACGGGAGGCAGCAGUGGGGAAUAUUGCACAAGGGGCGGAAGCCUGAUGCAGCGACGCCGCGUGGGGGAUGACGGCCUUCGGGUUGUAAACUCCUUUCGACCGCGAGGAAGCCACCUGGUUGGAAGGGUGGUGACGGUAGUGGUAGAAGAAGCACCGGCUAACUACGUG